UACGAAGGGGGCUAGCGUUGCUCGGAAUCACUGGGCGUAAAGCGCACGUAGGCGGAUUGUUAAGUCAGGGGUGAAAUCCUGGAGCUCAACUCCAGAACUGCCUUUGAUACUGGCGAUCUCGAGUCCGGGAGAGGUGAGUGGAACUGCGAGUGUAGAGGUGUAAUUCGUAGAUAUUCGCAAGAACACCAGUGGCGAAGGCGGCUCACUGGCCCGGUACUGACGCUGAGGUGCGAAAGCGUGGGGAGCAAACAGG
rnacentral:rRNA from 1 species